rnacentral:rRNA from 1 species
GUCUGAAAUCAACCCAUGUCACAUCUCACACUCUUAAACAGGGCUGGGUCAGGAAUGUACCUGGAUGGGAGACCACAAAGGAAAAUCUGGUUACUACAGGUG